AAUUGUAUUUGACCCGUGUGUGACAGUGAAUUCCAUAAGAACUCCGGAGUUAAGCGUGCUUGGGCGAGAGUAAUACUAGAACGAGUGACCUCCUAGGAAGUCCUCGUGUUAAACUUU
rnacentral:rRNA from 1 species